rnacentral:tRNA from 1 species
GGCCAGGUAGCUCAGUCGGUAGAGCAGAGGACUGAAAAUCCUCGUGUCGGCAGUUCGAUUCUGUCCCUGGCCACCU